AGAGUUUGAUCCUAGCUCAGGGUGAAUGCUAGCGGUGCGCCUAACACAUGCAAGUCGAGCGGGAAGUUUAUAGCUUGCUAUAAACGGAGAGCGGCGAACGGGUGAGUAAAAUGUUGGAACCUGCCUAUUAGUCGGGGAUAGCCAGAAGAAAUUCUGAUUAAUACCAGAUAGACUCUACGGAGUAAAGAUUUAUCGCUAAUAGAGGGGCCUGCAACCUAUCAGCUAGUUGGUAAGGUAAGAGCUUACCAAGGCAAAGACGGGUAGCUGAUCUGAGAGGAUGAUCAGCCACAAUGGGACUGAGACACGGCCCAUACUCCUACGGGAGGCAGCAGUGAGGAAUCUUCCACAAUGGGCGAAAGCCUGAUGGAGCGACACCGCGUGAAGGAAGAAGGCCUAACGGUUGUAAACUUCUUUUCUGAAGGAGCAAAAUGAGAGUACUUCAGGAAUAAGGGACGGCUAAUUACGUGCCAGCAGCCGCGGUAAUACGUAAGUCCCGAGCAUUACCCGGAAUAAUUGGGUGUAAAGGGUUCGUAGGCGGAUAAGUAAGUUGAAUAUGAAAGACCGGAGCUCAACUCCGAGUUAGUGUCCAAAACUACUUAACUAGAAUCAGGGAGAGGUAAGCGGAAUUCUGAGUGUAGGGGUGCAAUCCGUAGAUACUCAGAAGAACACCAAAAGCGAAGGCAGCUUACUGGAACUGAAUUGACGCUAAGGAACGAAAGCGUGGGUAGCGAAAAGGAUUAGAUACCCUUGUAGUCCACGCCCUAAACGAUGAUAACUAAGUGUUGGACCUAGAGUUCAGUGCUGAAGCAAACGCAUUAAGUUAUCCACCUGAGGAGUACGGUCGCAAGAUUAAAACUCAAAGGAAUAGACGGGGACCCACACAAGCAGUGGAUCACGUGGUUUAAUUCGAUAAUAAACGGGGAACCUUACCCAGACUUGACAUCUAGCGAAUUUUCUAGAGAUAGAAAAGUGCCUUUAUUGGAACGCCAAGACAGGUGCUGCAUGGUUGUCGUCAGUUCGUGCCUUGAGGUGUUCGGUUAAGUCCGUUAACGAGCGCAACCCAUGUUCUUAGUUACAAUGUCUAAGAAGACUGCCUUGGUUAACAAGGAGGAAGGUGUGGAUGACGUCAAAUCAGCAUGGCUUUUACGUCUGGGGCUACACACAUGAUACAAUGGUGUAUACAAAGGGGUGCAAAACAGCGAUGUUGAGCAAAUCCUAAAAGUACAUCUAAGUCCGGAUUGAAGUCUGAAACUCGACUUCAUGAAGUUGGAAUUGCUAGUAAUCGUGAAUCAGAUAUGUCACGGUGAAUAUGUUCCUGGGUCUUGUACUCACCGCCCGUCACGGCAUGGAAGGUAGUAAUAUUGGAAGCUCCCUUGUUGAUAAAGGGGUCCAUAGUAGGACUACUGACUGGGCUGAAGUCGUAACAAGGUA
rnacentral:rRNA from 1 species